GCAGAAACAAAUACUUUCCCGGAUGCUAGAGCUAGGCAUGACUCCAGUUCUGCCAUCAUUCUCUGGAAAUGUUCCAGCAACAUUACAGAAGAUACGUCCUUCAGCUAACAUUACUAGACUUGGGGAUUGGAACACUGUAAAUGGCGAUAAACGAUGGUGUUGUACUUACCUUCUUGCUCCUUCUGAUCCUUUGUUCGUUG